AGUCGAGGGGUAACGGAAGUAGCUUGCUACUAGACGACGACCGGCGCACGGGUGAGUAACGCGUAUGUAAUCUGCCUUGUACAGAGGGAUAGCCCAGAGAAAUUUGGAUUAAUACCUCAUAGUAUUACUGAAUCGCAUGAUUUGGUAAUUAAAGCUCCGGCGGUACAAGAUGAACAUGCGUGACAUUAGCUAGUUGGUAAGGUAACGGCUUACCAAGGCUACGAUGUCUAGGGGUUCUGAGAGGAUGAUCCCCCACACUGGUACUGAGACACGGACCAGACUCCUACGGGAGGCAGCAGUGAGGAAUAUUGGUCAAUGGACGCAAGUCUGAACCAGCCAUCCCGCGUGAAGGAUGACUGCCCUAUGGGUUGUAAACUUCUUUUAUAUGCAAAUAAACCUACUUUCGUGAAAGUAGCUGAAGGUAGCAUAUGAAUAAACACCGGCUAACUCCGUGCCAGCAGCCGCGGUAAUACGGAGGGUGUAAGCGUUAUCCGGAUUUAUUGGGUUUAAAGGGUACGUAGGCGGUAAUAUAAGUCAGUGGUGAAAUCCUGCAGC
rnacentral:rRNA from 1 species